UACGUAGGGUCCGAGCGUUAUCCGGUAUUAUUGGGCGUAAAGAGUGCGUAGGCGGUUUGGUAAGACACUGGUUAAAGCUCCGGGCCUAACCCGGAAAUCGCCCGUGUGACUAUCAGACUAGUCGGUAGCAGGGGCAAGCGGAAUUGUCGGUGUAGGAGUGAAAUCCGUUGAUAUCGGGAGGAACACCAAUGGCGAAGGCAAUUUGCUAGGCUGAUUCAGACACUGAGAUGUGAAAGCGUGGGGAGCGAAUGGG
rnacentral:rRNA from 1 species